rnacentral:rRNA from 1 species
UAGGGAAUCUUCGGCAAUGGACGAAAGUCUGACUGAGCAACGCCGCGUGAGUGAAGAAGGUUUUCGGAUCGUAAAACUCUGUUGUUAGAGAAGAACAAGGACGUUAGUAACUGAACGUCCCCUGACGGUAUCUAACCAGAAAGCCACGGCUAACUACGUGCCAGCAGCCGCGGUAAUACGUAGGUGGCAAGCGUUGUCCGGAUUUAUUGGGCGUAAAGCGAGCGCAGGCGGUUUCUUAAGUCUGAUGUGAAAGCCCCCGGCUCAACCGGGGAGGGUCAUUGGAAACUGGGAGACUUGAGUGCAGAAGAGGGGAGUGGAAUUCCAUGUGUAGCGGUGAGAUGCGUAGAUAUAUGGAGGAACACCAGUGACGAAGGCGGCUCUCUGGUCUGUUACUGACGCUGAGGCUCGAAAGCGUGGGGAGCAAACAGG